ACAGACUACAGGCUGAUCUAGCUGUGAUCAAGUGCAGUGUCUUUUCUCAUCAGUUGAAUAUUUGAUAUGUCUUCAGCGUGAGGACUUUAUAUUCCAUUGAUUUUAUACUACAUUGAUUUAAAUGGACUUUAUAUUACACUGGGAGAUGGUGUAGAAGCUUGUUUUAUCCCCUUCACUCACUGGCC
rnacentral:snRNA from 1 species